rnacentral:lncRNA from 1 species
GAUUUUCAAAGUGAAUUCCUAUGACAGCAAAGUAUUAGUGAGCUCUUUCAGAGGGAGGUCUUGCCUGGGACAGUAACAGAAAUCCUGAGGAAUUGGAAACUGGUGUGGCAUGCCACCCAUCUGAAGGGGAGGAGGAAUGAGGAGAGAGUGAAAGGAAGGACCUGAGAAGAUUUCUUGCGAAAAAAUACAAAACAGUAAGUAAAGAUAAUAUUUAUGCCAAAAGGGAAAAUUUUGGUAUAAUGAAGAUAGCAUGCACUAGUAGAUGAAGUUGCUAUUCUAAAAAUAA